AGGAGAGUUGAAAGGAAAACAUAAACAAAGGUAGUGCAUAGAAGAUAGGUGGUCGAGAUAAGAGGAAUAAAGUGGAAGAAAAUUGAAUUAGUUACCAUUUGCGAAAUUUGAUGAUAGGGCAGUUUAAGGAAAGUAACUUGAAAUAGAAUAGUUCCGCGGGUGAUUUGUUAGUGGAUUCUUGAAUUCGGAUCAGAUUUGGUCAGAUGAUCACAAACUAAUACAGUAAGUAGGAAAGUUUAUAUGCGUUUUAGAGCGGAAAGUAACAAAAAUAUUUCGUUGUAUUUCCAAGCCGCGGAGUAAAAUUUAGUGGUUGAUGAGCUGGAGGCCCGACGGGAAGAGACAGUUUAGACAACAGACUUGAGAAACCAGAUAUCGACGCACGACGAGGACGAGACUUUGCACAGUGGUCCAAAUCGGAGUAUUUCGAGGACAAAAUUCGUGGCUACGUUGCCUGCAAAGGAAGGUAGAAGGGAAGCCAAUAGAGGAGAAAAUCAAACUAAAAUUGUAAGUGAAUUCAUACUAAACAAGUUGUAUUAUCAUUGACGAAAAUGUCAAAUUUAUUACUUACAGUUUGAUCUGCCACAAUAAAAGGCCGAUUCACAAAAAUUGUUUGCGCCGAAUUUGAU